UGGGGGGAUAUUGCACAAUGGGGGGAAACCCGUGAUGCAGCGACGCCGCGUGUGGGAAGACGGUCCUCUGGAUUGUAAACCACUGUCCCCAGGGACGAAGAUGACGGUACCUGGGGAGGAAGCUCCGGCUAACUACGUGCC
rnacentral:rRNA from 1 species